UGGGGGAUAUUGGACAAUGGGGGAAACCCUGAUCCAGCCAUGCCGCGUGGGUGAAGAAGGCCCUAGGGUUGUAAAGCCCUUUCGGCGGGGACGAUGAUGACGGUACCCGCAGAAGAAGCACCGGCUAACUUCGUGCCAGCAGCCGCGGUAAUACGAAGGGUGCUAGCGUUGUUCGGAAUCACUGGGCGUAAAGCGCACGUAGGCGGUCCGCACCAGUCAGGCGUGAAAGCCCCAGGCUCAACCUGGGAAUUGCGCUUGAUACUAGCGGGCUAGAGGCCGGGAGAGGGUAGUGGAAUUCCCAGUGUAGAGGUGAAAUUCGUAGAUAUUGGGAAGAACACCAGUGGCGAAGGCGGCUACCUGGACCGGUUCUGACGCUGAGGUGCGAAAGCGUGGGGAGCAAACAGG
rnacentral:rRNA from 1 species